rnacentral:rRNA from 2 species
GUUAAAACUCAAAUGAAUUGACGGGGGCCCGCACAAGCGGUGGAGCAUGUGGUUUAAUUCGAUGCAACGCGAAGAACCUUACCUGGUCUUGACAUCCACAGAACUUUCCAGAGAUGGAUUGGUGCCUUCGGGAACUGUGAGACAGGUGCUGCAUGGCUGUCGUCAGCUCGUGUUGUGAAAUGUUGGGUUAAGUCCCGCAACGAGCGCAACCCUUAUCCUUUGUUGCCAGCGGUC